rnacentral:siRNA from 1 species
AGCAGCUAUUGACGACCAACUCC